UACGAGGGGGGCUAGCGUUGUUCGGAAUUACUGGGCGUAAAGCGCACGUAGGCGGAUCUGUAAGUUGGGGGUGAAAUCCCAGGGCUCAACCCUGGAACUGCCUUCAAGACUGCAGGUCUCGAGUUCAGGAGAGGCGAGUGGAAUACCGAGUGUAGAGGUGAAAUUCGUAGAUAUUCGGUGGAACACCAGUGGCGAAGGCGGCUCGCUGGACUGAUACUGACGCUGAUGUGCGAAAGCGUGGGGAGCAAACAGG
rnacentral:rRNA from 1 species